GGAGAGGUGUCCGAGUGGUCGAAGGUGUACGCUUGGAAGGCGUAUGUGCCCGAAAGGUACCGGGGGUUCGAAUCCCCCCCUCUCCG
rnacentral:tRNA from 1 species